GGAGCUUGCUCCUUUGACGUUAGCGGCGGACGGGUGAGUAACACGUGGGCAACCUACCCUAUAGUUGGGAUAACUCCGGGAAACCGGGGCUAAUACCGAAUAAUNUAUNUCACCUCAUGGUGACAUACUGAAAGACGGUUUNGGCUGUCGCUAUAGGAUGGGCCCGCGGCGCAUUAGCUAGUUGGUGAGGUAAUGGCUCACCAAGGCGACGAUGCGUAGCCGACCUGAGAGGGUGAUCGGCCACACUGGGACUGAGACACGGCCCAGACUCCUACGGGAGGCAGCAGUAGGGAAUCUUCCACAAUGGGCGAAAGCCUGAUGGAGCAACGCCGCGUGAGUGAAGAAGGAUUUCGGAUCGUAAAACUCUGUUGUAAGGGAAGAACAAGUACAGUAGUAACUGGCUGUACCUUGACGGUACCUUAUUAGAAAGCCACGGCUAAACUACGUGCCAGCAGCCGCGGUAAUACGUAGGUGGCAAGCGUUGUCCGGAAUUAUUGGGCGUAAAAGCGCGCGCAGG
rnacentral:rRNA from 1 species